AAGACUAGACUCUCAGGGAUCAUUUCUGGAGUUCCUGACUUGAGGGAUGUGUUUUUAAAGUGUUUAGUCUUGCUGACCGUGAUGACGAGACGUGAUAUUCCUGUCUGAGUGUGAAGCUGACAGUAUUGUGAGUAACUAUUCACUUCAUAAGCUCUCUGUCAUUGAUGAUCAUUCUUUGUUUCUUUAUGGAGCACUGAGGGAGGGAAUAUGAUCAGAGUGGU